CGAGCGUUGUCCGGAAUCGUUGGGCGUAAAGCGCGGGGAAGCGGGUUGGCUAGUCUGGCGUGAAGCCUCGAGGCUCGGCCUCGAGGCUGCUCCGGAAACUGCUUUGCUUUAGUCCGGAAGAGGAGACUGGAAUUCCUGGCGUAGCGGUGAACUGCGCAGAUAUCGGGAAUAACACCGGUGGCUAACGCGGGUCUCUGGGACCUAACUGA
rnacentral:rRNA from 1 species